CUACAUUCCUGCCGAGAUUGCCGUGUUCAAGUAGGCGGUGUCUCCAGGGUGAGGCGCGGGCGUUGCUUUAUGCUCGUGCUGACCCCUGCCACUACCCCAAACCGGGGCAGAUGGGGCAUAAAUUUUUGGUAGUGGGGAACUGCGCUCGCGCUGUCCCCUA